rnacentral:rRNA from 1 species
CAAUAGCGUAUAUUAAAGUUGUUGCAGUUAGAACGCUCGUAGUCGGAUUUCGGGGCGGGCCGACCGGUCUGCCGAUGGGUACGCACUGGUCGGCGCGUCCUUCCUUCCGGAGACCGUGCCUACUCUUAACUGAGCGGGGGCGGGAGACGGAUCGUUUACUUUGAAAAAAUCAGAGUGUUUCAAGCAGGCAGCUCGCUCUUGCGUGGAUUAGCAUGGGAUAAUGAAAUAGGACUUUGGUGCUAUUUUGUUGGUUUCGAACACCGAAGUAAUGAUUAACAGGGACAGUCAGGGGCACUCGUAUUCCGCCGAGAGAGGUGAAAUUCUCAGACCAGCGGAAGACGAACUACUGCGAAAGCAUUUGCCAGGGAUGUUUUCACUGA